rnacentral:rRNA from 1 species
AGAGUUUGAUCCUGGCUCAGGAUGAACGUUGGCGGCGUGCCUAAUACAUGCAAGUCGAACGAAGACUGUAGUAAUACUGUCUUAGUGGCGAACGGGUGAGUAACGCGUGGGUGACCUGCCCCGAAGUGUGGGAUAACAGUCCGAAAGGAUUGCUAAUACUGCAUAAUAUCCAAGAGAUUAGAUGCUUUUGGAUUAAAGGAGUAAUUCGCUUCGGGAGGGGCCCGCGUCCCAUCAGCUAGUUGGUAAGGUAAUGGCUCACCAAGGCGAUGACGGGUAGGGGGCCUGAGAGGGUGGCCCCCCACAAUGGAACUGAAACACGGUCCAUACACCUACGGGUGGCAGCAGUAGGGAAUAUUAGUAAUGGGCGAAAGCCUGAACUAGCAACGCCGCGUGUGCGAAGAAGGCCUUCGGGUCGUAAAGCACUUUUUGAGAGGAUGAGGAAGGACGGUACUCUCAGAAUAAGUCUCGGCUAACUACGUGCCAGCAGCCGCGGUAACACGUAGGAGGCAAACGUUAUCCGGAUUUACUGGGCGUAAAGCGCGUGUAGGUGGUUUGGUAAGUAGGGCGUGAAAGCUCCUGGCUCAACUGGGAGAGGACGUUCUAAACUGCCAAGCUUGAGGAUGGUAGAGGGAGGUGGAAUUCCGGGUGUAGCGGUGGAAUGCGCAGAUAUCCGGAGGAACACCAGUGGCGAAGGCGGCCUCCUGGACCACUCCUGACACUCAGACGCGAAAGCUAGGGUAGCAAACGGGAUUAGAGACCCCGGUAGUCCUAGCCCUAAACGAUGUAGACUGGCGUCGGUGGUUUAAUCGCCAUCGGUGUCGUAGCUAACGCGAUAAGUCUACCGCCUGGGGACUACGGCCGCAAGGUUAAAACUCAAAGGAAUUGACGGGUCCCCGCACAAGCAGCGGAGCGUGUGGUUUAAUUCGAGGCAACGCGAAGAACCUUACCAAGGCUUGACAUCCCGCGACAAACGUGGAAACACGUCUUCCCCUUCGGGGGCGCGGAGACAGGUGGUGCAUGGUUGUCGUCAGCUCGUGUCGUGAGAUGUUGGGUUAAGUCCCGCAACGAGCGCAACCCCUGCUGCCAGUUGCCAUCAUUAAGUUGGGCACUCUGGCGGGACUGCCGGUGACAAAUCGGAGGAAGGUGGGGAUGACGUCAAAUCAUCAUGCCCCUUAUGUCUUGGGCUACACACGUACUACAAUGGCCGUUACAGAAGGAAGCGAAGCCGCGAGGCGGAGCGAAUCCCCAAAGGCGGCCCCAGUUCGGAUUGCAGGCUGCAACUCGCCUGCAUGAAGUCGGAAUUGCUAGUAAUUGCAGGUCAGCAUACUGCAGUGAAUACGUUCCCGGGUCUUGUACACACCGCCCGUCACACCAUGAGAGUUUGUAACACCCGAAGUCGGUUGGCUAACCGCAAGGAGGCCGCCGCCGAAGGUGGGACAAGCGAUUGGGGUGAAGUCGUAACAAGGUAACCGUA